rnacentral:misc_RNA from 1 species
GAUGAAGAACGUAGCGAAAUGCGAUAAGUAAUGUGAAUUGCAGAAUUCAGUGAAUCAUCGAAUCUUUGAACGCACAUUGCGCCCACCAGUAUUCUGGUGGGCAUGCCUGUUCGAGCGUCAUUUCAACCCUUAAGCCCUGGUUGCUUAGCGUUGGGAGCCUACCGGACCCCGUCCCGUAGCUCCCCAAAGUCAGUGGCGGAGCCGGUUUAACACUCCAGACGUAGUAGCUUUUACACAUCGACUGUAGCCUAAGCCCGGCGCCCUGCCGUAAAACACCCCCCAAUGUAUAGGUUGACCUCGGAUCAGGUAGGAAUACCCGCUGAACUUAAGCAUAUCAAUAAGCGGAGGA